AUUGAACGCUGGCGGCAGGCUUAACACAUGCAAGUCGAGCGGGGGAAGGUAGCUUGCUACCGGACCUAGCGGCGGACGGGUGAGUAAUGCUUAGGAAUCUGCCUAUUAGUGGGGGACAACAUCUCGAAAGGGAUGCUAAUACCGCAUACGUCCUACGGGAGGAAGCAGGGGAUCUUCGGACCUUGCGCUAAUAGAUGAGCCAAAGUCGGAUUAGCUAGUUGGUGGGGUAAAGGCCUACCAAGGCGACGAUCUGUAGCGGGUCUGAGAGGAUGAUCCGCCACACUGGGACUGAGACACGGCCCAGACUCCUACGGGAGGCAGCAGUGGGGAAUAUUGGACAAUGGGGGGAACCCUGAUCCAGCCAUGCCGCGUGUGUGAAGAAGGCCUUAUGGUUGUAAAGCACUUUAAGCGAGGAGGAGGCUACUCUAGUUAAUACCUAGGGAUAGUGGACGUUACUCGCAGAAUAAGCACCGGCUAACUCUGUGCCAGCAGCCGCCGUAA
rnacentral:rRNA from 1 species